UCGAGACCAGCCUGGGCAACAUGGCAAAACCCCGUCUCUACUAAAAAUACAAAAAGUAGCAGGGAAUGGUGGGGCACGCCCAUAGUCGCAGCUACUCAGAGGCUGAGGCAGGAGAAUUGCUUGAACCCAGGAGACGAAGUUUGCACGAGCCAAGAUCAUGCCACUGCACUCCAGCCUGGGCGACAGAGUCAGAUUCUGUUUCAAAAAAAAAAAAAAAAAAAAAGAGAAACAUUUAGAACAAUAGACUAUAAAGGAAGAAAAUCAGUAACACAUCAUCUUAUGUUUAUAUGACAUUCUCAUCCUAGUUUUAUCCAACCAUUAAACUUCUCUGCUCCUGCUCCUGGGUUGUAAAUAUCUGCUAAGCGGCAGAUUAUUGUGCAUACCAAUUCAGUCUCCAACCUCAGGAGCUUUAUGGAGGCCUAGGCAUCAGUUUUUUCUUCCAUGCUGAACUUUUACCUCUGUUCCUAGGCUCUCUUUUACUAUCUCUUUUAAUAGAUUACUUUGUCCCUUUACUUCAUUGACUAAAAACUAAGGUGUUAUAUGAGAGGCAUUUUAACUAGAAUCCUUUUAGUUUCCUCCCUCGGUAAUUAGAAAGAUAACUCUUGCAUCCAUCUGUUUCCCAGUGGAGAAGGGGUUCCCAAGUCAGAUCCUUCUGUUGGUGCUAUUGACCCCAUUCCCUCCUUCCUUCCCAGGAUCUCGCAGCAUCACAAUUUUGCAGCACAUGUGGAUUCACCAAACACUAGUAUGCUGCUGAACGAGCUGCUAUGUUGUACAUUUUACAGAAAGCUGUUUCUCAGGUAAAGUUAUUGUGUCCUGGCUGACAGCCAUGACUUUAAAGUCCUUUCCAGUCUUAAAAACUUUGACUUAUAACCUUGUCACCAGCAUGCAUUUCCUGCUUCCUCAGCAGUCCAAAUGUUAUGUGGUGCUCUUAGAUUUAAGGCUUGGGUUCUCCAUUAGGCAUGUGAUUUGUCACUGGGCAAAAGGCACAUCCAACUACAGUGUUGUGCAACUCUUCCAAAGCUGGGAACAGACCCACCCAAUAAAUGAACCUGCAUUGAUCCUCCCGCCUCAGCCUCCCAAAGCGCUGGGAUUAAAGGUGUGAGCCAUUGUGGCAGCCCAGUGAGUCUAAUCUCAUCUCCCAUGUCUUCCCCUCAUAAACCUCUUGCCGUAAAACAACAGUUCCUGAAUUUAUGCUCAUUCUGUAUAGCUCAUCAUAGCCUUGCACAUGUUUUUCUUCCUUUGCUUGAAAUGCUCUUUUGUACCUGAAAAAAAAAAAUUCUUCUCUGUGUUUCAGCUCAGAUAUUACCUCCUUGGUGCAGCCCUCUGUAAUUUCCUCAGGCAGGGUGGUGACUUUGGCUUCUGAGCUCCCACAGUGCUUUGUAUACAGAACUUAACCACACCACUGCUUGGUUGUUUACUAGCACAUUAAUCAUUUCUGUUAGAUUCUCCAGAACUUGAGAAAUGGAAUUGUAUCUUAGUUUUUUUCUUAAUACCUGCCUUUUAGUGAGCACUCAAUAAGUAUUUUUAAAUGAAAGAAAAAUUUAAUAUUAAUGUGAUUUAGUGCAAUAUAAUUUACAUAUGCCUGUAUAGUGAAAUAGAAAUAUAAACAUGUAUCUUGUAAAAUAAUAUAUAUCUUCAAUGAGAUUUUAAAUGUUUAUCAAUCUGCUUUUGAAUUAUCUUAUUAUACAUACAGAACAAUGCAUUAUCCUAACUCCAGAAUCCCCUCAUUCUCUUUUACAGUCAGUUUUCCCCUGCACUGGUAACCAAUAUCCUGGUUUCUGACAGCACAGAUUUUGAAUCCUGACUUUAAAAAGAAGGGGGAUGAUUGUUGUUAUUUAGAAAAGAAAGAUUUAAAAUAAUUGGCCUCUGUGUCUGUUUUUUAUCCAAGAGUUUGGACUUGAGAUCUAAGUUCCCUUUCUGUCCUAAGAUUUUCUGAAACUUAAUUUAAAACUUAACAAACCGGGUGUGGUGGUGUGCGCCUUUAGUUACAGCUACUCUCGAGCUUAGGAAGGAGGAUCGCCUGAGCCCAGGAGUUCGAGGCUGCAGUGAGCU
rnacentral:lncRNA from 1 species